CUGCAAAUAUUCUUCAUAUUCUGAUUUUGUAAUAAUCGGGACAAGCUAAACAUUCGUUAUAAUAAUACCACACAUUUGUCCUGGACCUAGGUCUUUGCCUACCUAAGUCUGGUCUUAGAAAUGCUGCUGAUAAAU
ensembl:snoRNA SNORA72 Small nucleolar RNA SNORA72